rnacentral:lncRNA from 1 species
CCGGUUCGAAUCCCCGUUAGGGCGAAUAGGCAACCAGUGUGGGUCCUUGGGCAAGACCCUUCAAGCUACUGCCUACCUCAUAUCAUGAGAGACAAUGAACCACAUGAGAUACCGGCUCAGACGUCGCCCGGUCUAACAAGGUCUGCGUCAGGUGUUGGGGAACCAGAGCACCUUGGCGAGAAGUGGGCUACUGGAACAAGAAAGAAAUGGCUGAGAUGCGAGAACAAGGCUCUGUUGGAAUGCUACUACUCAAGUAACCCUAGUCAGAGGGGUUACAUGCAAAGAAUGUGCGGUGAAUGGGAACGGAGAAACUCACAUUCAAGGCUGACGGCGAAGCAACUAGUAGCUCAGUGUUCCAACAUCCACAAACGGCAACUGUUAUCACAACUUGAGAUUGACGAGAUACAACACAAAUGCUACGGCAAGGGGGAGCCAGGACGCCAGGUCAGAGGGGAGGUUUCACCAUCUCCCCAACCGGAAAUUGGGUACGAAGCCCCAAUAAGCACAGAUACGCUGAGCGAGGCAGCGACUGACCUGAAAGAUAAGAUCAUGGCGAGAUUGAACAGGCAACCCCGAAGCCAACUACAACGGCUAAGUGAAGUACCAUCAGAAAGUCUCAUGGAAGAUGUGAAUGCAGCAUUGAGAGCGAUCCCUACCACAACAAUCACAGAAACCAAUGAGCUGAUAUACGCUUCAGCAUCAGUGAUCCUAGAGGUGCUUGGCUAUAAGAGCAACCAUGGGAGCCAUGAGAAACAAUACCCACCAUGGAAACGAAGGUUGGAGGCAAAAAUCAAGGCAGCUCGGAGGGAAGUGAGCCAAAUGACAGAGGCCCAGAGAGGUGCAAUGAAAAGACCAAUGCCUAAGAGGUACAGCCAGAUGACCCUACCUGAAGCACUCGAAACUGCCAAGCAAAGACUACAAGCCUUGGCCAGCCGCCUAAAGAGAUACACCAGAGAUAACGAAGCCAGACGAAUAAACCGGCUGUUCGCAACACAACCUGCAAAAGUGUACUCUCAAUGGCAGGGUAAUAACAACAGAGCAGACCCACCAAGGCUGGAAACUGAACAGUA